GCCCCUCCCCGCCCCUCCCUCCCGCGCUCCGCCCGCUCCGCGCAGCGCCCCUGGGGGCUGCAGUGCUGCCGGUGCCUGGCACCGCCUCGGGCUGCAGCCAGCCCCGGCCCGGCCCCGCUGCGCCUGAGGCGGGCAUGUUAUCAAUUGAGAAUGACUCAAAAUCCAAGUGUCCAGGUUACAAAUUGAUUCCAUUAGGCAAGUAGAAUAUGAGCAAAGUCACAGCGCUGGACGACAGGGGAGUCACCGCUCCGCCACCUGCCGUGACAAGUCUCUUCAUUAGCCUAUAUUUAUACUGUGUUGUCUGCGUUGUUCCACCCUGCAAAUUACAUAAACCCAUCCUUUCUGCGCAUGUUCCUUCGUUUGGGUUAGGGUCUGCCUUCCCUUCUGGUGGUCGUUGAGGAUGAAGUAAGCAGUCCUCCUCAGGUGUCCUCUGGUUCACCCGUCUCCAAAUAUGGACUUCCUUUGGCUGGUUAAUGUCCCGAAUCCCACUUCUCAAAAUUAAAGCUUAGUCCUUGGAACAUGACUGAUUAAUGUCCGAGCCCACAUGUGGCCUGUUCUCUCUUAGCUCAAAAUUAAGGAUGCACCUAAAGUUUUAGUCUUUGAAAUACUCAGCAAUUAGCUAGCUUAUUCUUUGCACAUUACCAUCUCUAGCAUGACCUCUCGGUUAGGCACAUCUCCUGAUUUGCAGCAGCUGUAUAUACACUGCCGUUUGCAGCUAAGCAUGCUUAACAUUCUAUUCAAAUGUUUCUUUAUUGAAUAAUUACAAUUACCUAUUACAAUUCUAUUAAAAUGUUUCUUUAUUAAACAAUUACAAUCACCUAUUACAGGCAGAGCCUGCGGCCCCAGCGCCGUGCGGCCGAGAGAGCCCAGCCCAGGGCCCGGGGCGUGCUGAGCGGCUCGGGGCCCCGCACGGUGCCAGCCGCGGCCGUGGCUGCCCUCACAGCAGGCCUGAAUGGCAGCUGCGGCACUCAGCGGCUGCUGACGGCUCUGGCCCCAGGGAGACCCCACGGCCUCAGGCUCCCUCAUUAGCGUAACCCGCCCUUAAUUACCGGGGCUGGGGAAACGGUUUGGUGCAAGGGCUGAGCUCCCCCAGCUGCCUCUGCUGCCUUCAGUCUCUUACCAGGAGACAGGAAAGGGAGGGGAGCCAAGGCAGAGGCUGCAGGGGACUGGCACCGAGCGAGGCUCAGGGCUCAGGGCUGGCACUCUCCUGGCAGCAGCAGAUGAGAGCAGUGCUGAGCCCGGGCCCUUUUUUGGCUCCUCUCCCUGCCACCCCACGGCUGCUCUGAAACACCUGUCUCUUGUGUACUGGAGAAGGAAUGGUGUGUGUGCCAUCCUGUGCUGGCUUUGCUGCCAUCCCCAGCAUCCUCCACUGGAAGGUCAGGAGUGCUGUGCUCUGCCCAGAGUGCAGCUUGUCUGAUCUGAACAGACCAGUGAUCUCCUCAGCUGUGCUCCUGAGAGGGAAGUUCUUCAUUAUCCACAGAGAAGUUUUCUUGUAAUCAUGGUUCUGCUGUUUCUUCAGGUGCCUGAAUCUGUGUGCUCCCACUUGUAUUUUGUUCACAGCAACCUUAACAUCUUUCUUAGAGCUCUUUGGGAUGUGCAGGCAGCAGUGCAUGCAGUGAGAUGUGUGCAAGCUGCUGCAGCAAGACAAGACCAGCAGCAGUGCUAAGAAGGAAUGCAGUGAGCAGUGCUGCCAGGCUUUUCUCUUUGAGGAACAUUUGUGUCUCCCACCUGAUGCUAUCAUAGAUUUGAAGAUGUGAAUGGACACUUCUGCCAUCACUGCUGCACUCUGGCACUGCGAUAGCUUCACAUUCCCCUUUCCCACCCCAAGUUUCCUUCCAUGGUCACACAACCAUGCAGAGCACAAUAUCAGACCCAGUCAUUGGGCACAGAUGAAAAAGCAAGCAGCAAAUUUCUUGGUGGAUUGUUUCCCUUCCUGUCAGAUCAACAUCAACCAACUCUCUGUAUCUGUGCAGUUGAUGCAUCUGGAGCAGAGUGGGAACACACAGCUGGGAGCUAGGCAGGAGCAGCUUUCAGCUUGAUGAAACUGAACUGACAACAUUUAGCUCAUGCUAACCAUGAUUAUUAGUGUCAGCUGCUCAGCAAAGAGAGCUUGUCCAAAACAUGGUCAGAGAAUUUUGGUUCUCAGAAUGGACUUUGCAAGGUAUCAGCUCAGGCUGGCAAUGGAAACAAUUUCUGUUCUGUUCUAUGAACACUUCCCCUUCCCUUUGCCAAGGACAGGUCUUACACUGUGUGCUAGUUUGAACCUAGCUGGGAUAUUUUGGUGAGAAGAAUUAGAUGCUAGGCUGUGAAAAGGGAGCAGUGGUGAUGUCUGCUGGACUCAGGCUUGCUGAGAUGGACAAAAACAAGAACACAAAUGUAGAUAACAGAGUUGCUUUCUGUCUCUUGGGGCUGCAUGAACUUCUCUCUAACCUAACUUGCUGCCUGACUAAUCCUUCUGCUUCCUAACCCCCCUGGCUGAGCCUCCAAACUCACCCUUGAACGUAAGGCAAAGUCUGAGAUAAGGCAGAGGGGUGGACAGGAGAUGGAAGGGUGGUUGGGAGCCUAUCCAGGGGACUCUGGUUUCUGGGAGGGCUGCUGUGUUUCUGUACUACUGGUUCAUGUGUGAAGUUCAGUAUCUAUUGUACAUACCUGCUUGUGUACUGUGCUGAGCUGUAACUAUAAAGCUUCAUUCCAUUUCCAA